rnacentral:rRNA from 1 species
CCUACGGGGGCAGCAGUGAGGAAUAUUGGUCAAUGGGCGGGAGCCUGAACCAGCCAAGUCGCGUGAGGGACGACGGUCCUAUGGAUUGUAAACCUCUUUUGUCGGGGAACAAAGGCGCCCACGGGUGGGCGGAUGAGUGUACCCGAAGAAAAAGCAUCGGCUAACUCCGUGCCAGCAGCCGCGGUAAUACGGAGGAUGCGAGCGUUAUCCGGAUUUAUUGGGUUUAAAGGGUGCGUAGGCGGUCCGGAAAGUCAGCGGUAAAAGCCCGGGGCUCAACCCCGGCGAGCCGUUGAAACUGUCGGACU